UUGGUGCCUUCGGGAACUGUGAGACAGGUGCUGCAUGGCUGUCGUCAGCUCGUGUUGUGAAAUGUUGGGUUAAGUCCCGCAACGAGCGCAACCCUUAUCCUUUGUUGCCAGCGAUUAGGUCGGGAACUCAAAGGAGACUGCCAGUGAUAAACUGGAGGAAGGUGGGGAUGACGUCAAGUCAUCAUGGCCCUUACGACCAGGGCUACACACGUGCUACAAUGGCGCAUACAAAGAGAAGCGACCUCGCGAGAGCAAGCGGACCUCAUAAAGUGCGUCGUAGUCCGGAUUGGAGUCUGCAACUCGACUCCAUGAAGUCGGAAUCGCUAGUAAUCGUGGAUCAGAAUGCCACGGUGAAUACGUUCCCGGGCCUUGUACACACCGCCCGUCACACCAUGGGAGUGGGUUGCAAAAGAAGUAGGUAGCUUAACCUUCGGGAGGGCGCUUACCACUUUGUGAUUCAUGACUGGGGUGAAGUCGUAACAAGGUAACCGUAGGGGAACCUGCGGUUGGA
rnacentral:rRNA from 4 species